GUAGGGAAUCUUCCGCAAUGGACGAARKUCUGACGRAGCAACGCCGCGUGAGUGAAGAAGGUUUUCGGAUCGUAAAGCUCUGUUGUCAGGGAAGAACAAGUACCAAAGUAACUGUUGGUACCUUGACGGUACCUGACCAGAAAGCCACGGCUAACUACGUGCCAGCAGCCGCGGUAAUACGUAGGUGGCAAGCGUUGUCCGGAAUUAUUGGGCGUAAAGCGCGCGCAGGCGGCUUCUUAAGUCUGAUGUGAAAGCCCACGGCUCAACCGUGGAGGGUCAUUGGAAACUGGGAGGCUUGAGUGCAGAAGAGGAGAGCGGAAUUCCACGUGUAGCGGUGAAAUGCGUAGAGAUGUGGAGGAACACCAGUGGCGAAGGCGGCUCUCUGGUCUGUAACUGACGCUGAGGCGCGAAAGCGUGGGGAGCGAACAGGAUUAGAUACCCUGGUAGUCCACGCCGUAAACGAUGAGUGCUAAGUGUUGGAGGGUUUCCGCCCUUCAGUGCUGCAGCUAACGCAUUAAGCACUCCGCCUGGGGAGUACGGCCGCAAGGCUGAAACUCAAAGGAAUUGACGGGGGCCCGCACAAGCGGUGGAGCAUGUGGUUUAAUUCGAAGCAACGCGAAGAACCUUACCAGGUCUUGACAUCCCGCUGAYCGGUCUGGAGACAGAYCUUUCCCUUCGGGGACAGCGGUGACAGGUGGUGCAUGGUUGUCGUCAGCUCGUGUCGUGAGAUGUUGGGUUWAGUUCCCGCAACGAGCGCAACCMUUGAUCUUAGUUGCCAGCAUUUCAGUKGGKCACUCUAAGGUGAMCUGGCYGRUGACAAACCGGCAGGAAGG
rnacentral:rRNA from 1 species